GAAACGCUAUAAUUGAGUGGUAUAUUUGGAAACUCUAUGAUAGCGCGUAAUUUUAUAUGUAACACUUAUGUUUAAUAGCAGGAUAUAAUUAAAACGUCAUGUUUGGCUUUUGAAUCCCUAAACCCUAAACAAAUUUUUAAACUCUAAACACAAAUUUUAAAUUUUAAACUUUAAUACACUAAUAAACUUUAUAAUAUUUUUAAACUUAAACUUCAAAUCUUAAAUAUUAAAAUAUAAACUUAAAUAUUUUCAUAACUUAAUCUCAAACUAUAUACCUAUUUCAAAAGUUUAACCAUAUAAACCCUAAACCACAUACUUUAACAUAUAGCAUAAGAACAUUAAACCUCAAACUUUAUAAAAUAUAAUUUCUAUAAUAUAAUUAUCAAACUAUGUAUAAUAUUUCAAAUUUACAUUAUACAAUUCAAAAAUAAAAAUAAACCAUUAAAUAAUAAACAACACAAAAAGAUGAUUAUAGAUAAAUGAACAUAUAAUUAUUAUUAGUUUUAUUGGGCCUUUGAUUAGUUUGGAUCCAAAGACUCAAAAUCACUCUUUUGUGAUCUUCGUCCUUCUUUCUUAUUGGCCAAUUUUUCAAAAUUUGGAUUAAUAUAUCUGACCAUUGAUUAUUUGUAAUCCAAUGGCCAAGAAUUCAUCUUUUCAUUUCCCUUGUUCUAGACUCCAUCGAUCUCUUCCUUAGUAUUAUUCUCCUCAUCUCCCUCGCUGUCUCAAACACACACACACGAUUCACGUAGCAAACAUCUCCUUUUUCUGUAUCACUCUCUUCACACACACACGAUUCAUGUAACAUACAUUUCAUUUCUCUGUAACACUCUCUUCACACACACACACACACGAAUCUGAAGGUGGAGCCAAACCCAGCGACCGCGGAUCUGAAGAUGUUGGACCACCGCCAUCUCUCCCUUUCACCACCGUCUCUCUCACCACCACCGAUGUGGUGGUCAUUGGGUUUGCGGCUAGGAGGCGAUGGAGAAGAUGGUGGUCGUGAGCACAGGUGGUGGCCAUCGGGCUUGCGGCAAGGAGGCGACAGAGAAGCUGGUGGUCGGAGCAGAGUGGUGGUCAUGGGGCUUGCAGCGAGGAGGCGAUGGAGAAGUUGGUGGCCGUGAGAAGAGGUGGUGGUCAUGGGGCUUGCGGCGAGGAACGAAGAAGUUGGUGAGGAGGCUGGCCCAAGAAGAUUAGGUUUUGAUUAGGUUUAAUUAAGAUUAGGUUAGAUUAGAUUUAAUUUUUAAAACAUCUGGUUUAGUGUUAAGUGUAAACCGAUUCUUAUCUUUUUUCAAAUGUAAUUUCUAAUGUUUAAUAAAAAAUAAUUUGUUAUCUUUU